rnacentral:lncRNA from 1 species
GCUUCAGGGUGCCGUCAUCGGAUUCCCCCCUCUGUGCCUCGCCGUCGUGCAGAGCCGCCGCCGGAACCGUUGCCCGCGCCGUGAGCGCUCGCUCGUGCGAGCAGGGCGACGGGGGAGCCUCGCCCGUGCAUGGGCCUCCCGCACCGUCACCAGCAGCACUAGCGGCCCAGUCCACCUCCAUCCCGAGCGCUCCUGCCUAGCAGCCUCACCCCGCGCAAGGCCGAGUCUUCGCAGCCGGCCCGUUUGGCCUCUGGUGAGCGAUGAUCCCCUAUCCGGCGCCCUAUGCGAAUAUUGAUUAUAUCAUGCUCGUGCUCUAUUAGCCCAGCGGUCAGUUUCGGCGCAUAUUUUUUUUUUCAAUUCCACGAAUUUGUGUGUGAAU